UACGGAGGGUCCAAGCGUUAUCCGGAAUCAUUGGGUUUAAAGGGUCCGUAGGCGGUUUUGUAAGUCAGUGGUGAAAGCCCAUCGCUCAACGGUGGAACGGCCAUUGAUACUGCAAGACUUGAAUUAUUGGGAAGUAACUAGAAUAUGUAGUGUAGCGGUGAAAUGCUUAGAGAUUACAUGGAAUACCAAUUGCGAAGGCAGGUUACUACCAAUAUAUUGACGCUGAUGGACGAAAGCGUGGGGAGCGAACAGG
rnacentral:rRNA from 2 species